AAAGCCUCUAAGCAUCAGGUAACAUCAAAUCGUACCCCAAACCGACACAGGUGGUCAGGUAGAGAAUACCAAGGCGCUUGAGAGAACUCGGGUGAAGGAACUAGGCAAAAUGGUGCCGUAACUUCGGGAGAAGGCACGCUGAUAUGUAGGUGAAGCGACUUGCUCGUGGAGCUGAAAUCAGUCGAAGAUACCAGCUGGCUGCAACUGUUUAUUAAAAACACAGCACUGUGCAAACACGAAAGUGGACGUAUACGGUGUGACGCCUGCCCGGUGCCGGAAGGUUAAUUGAUGGGGUUAGCGGCAACGCGAAGCUCUUGAUCGAAGCCCCGGUAAACGGCGGCCGUAACUAUAACGGUCCUAAGGUAGCGAAAUUCCUUGUCGGGUAAGUUCCGACCUGCACGAAUGGCGUAAUGAUGGCCAGGCUGUCUCCACCCGAGACUCAGUGAAAUUGAACUCGCUGUGAAGAUGCAGUGUACCCGCGGCAAGACGGAAAGACCCCGUGAACCUUUACUAUAGCUUGACACUGAACAUUGAGCCUUGAUGUGUAGGAUAGGUGGGAGGCUUUGAAGUGUGGACGCCAGUCUGCAUGGAGCCGACCUUGAAAUACCACCCUUUAAUGUUUGAUGUUCUAACGUGGGCCCGUAAUCCGGGUUGCGGACAGUGUCUGGUGGGUAGUUUGACUGGGGCGGUCUCCUCCUAAAGAGUAACGGAGGAGCACGAAGGUUGGCUAAUCCUGGUCGGACAUCAGGAGGUUAGUGCAAUGGCAUAAGCCAGCUUGACUGCGAGCGUGACGGCGCGAGCAGGUGCGAAAGCAGGUCAUAGUGAUCCGGUGGUUCUGAAUGGAAGGGCCAUCGCUCAACGGAUAAAAGGUACUCCGGGGAUAACAGGCUGAUACCGCCCAAGAGUUCAUAUCGACGGCGGUGUUUGGCACCUCGAUGUCGGCUCAUCACAUCCUGGGGCUGAAGUAGGUCCCAAGGGUAUGGCUGUUCGCCAUUUAAAGUGGUACGCGAGCUGGGUUUAGAACGUCGUGAGACAGUUCGGUCCCUAUCUGCCGUGGGCGCUGGAGAACUGAGGGGGGCUGCUCCUAGUACGAGAGGACCGGAGUGGACGCAUCACUGGUGUUCGGGUUGUCAUGCCAAUGGCACUGCCCGGUAGCUAAAUGCGGAAGAGAUAAGUGCUGAAAGCAUCUAAGCACGAAACUUGCCCCGAGAUGAGUUCUCCCUGACUCCUUGAGAGUCCUGAAGGAACGUUGAAGACGACGACGUUGAUAGGCCGGGUGUGUAAGCGCAGCGAUGCGUUGAGCUAACCGGUACUAAUGAACCGUGAGGCUUAACCUUACAACGCCGAAG
rnacentral:rRNA from 1 species